GUGGUGGUUUCUUGCUUGGAUCUAGGGGAUAAUUCAAGGUGCUUUUCUGUAGUCGUCUUCUCUUCAGCUGUUAAUGACAGAGUCCCAGAAGUGUCCUGAAGUCCUUUUCCACGCCUAAGCCAUGCUUCAGAGAGGGAGGCACCUGCCCCGGUGUCCUGAGUACUGCUCUUCUGAACAGCAGUGGUCUUUCUCCUGGAAAGGAUUGGCAUUCUAUAUCCCAACUCCUUUUUCUCAGGGCCGCGAGCGCGGCUGCCGCGGGGCAUCUCAGGGAGAGCAGCCUCAGCGCGCCGCCUUAGUGCGCCGCCUCCUCAGAGCACCGCGGUGCCACAUCCUGAUUGCCGACUUCUUAUGUCCUGUCCUCUUGCUCUCCUCCCCGGGCAGCAUGAGCUUCAUCGCUUGUUCCACUUUCUCCACCAACUACCGGUCCGUGGGCUCCGUCCGGGUGCCCAGCUACGGUGCCCAGCUGGUCAGCAGCGCGGCCAGAGUCUAUGCAGGCGCCGGGGGCUCUGGUCCCGCAUCUCUGUGUCCUACUCCGCCAGCUUCCGGAGCGGCAUGGGGGUCGGGGGCCAGGCCGCGGGGAUGGCCGGGGGUCUGGCAGAAAUGGGAGGCAUCAGAACGAGAAGGAGACCACGCAAAGCCUGAACGACCGCCUGGCCUCCUACCUGGACAGAGUGAGGAGCCUGGAGACCGAGAACCAGAAGCUGGAGAGCAAAAUCCAGGAGCACCUGGAGAAGAAGGGACCCUAGGUCAGAGACUGGGGCCAUUACUUCAAGACCAUCAAGGACCUGAGGGCUCAGAUCUUCGCAAAUACUGUUGACAAUGCCCGCAUCGUUCUGCAGAUUGACAAUGCCCGUCUUGCUGCUGAUGACUUUAGAGUCAAGUAGGAGACAGAGCUGGCCAUGUGCCCGUCUGUGGAGAGCGACAUCCAUGGGCUCCACAAGGUCAUCGAUGACACCAAUGUCACUCGGCUGCAGCUGGAGACAGAGAUCGAGGCUCUCAAGGAGGAGCUGCUCUUCAUGAAGAAGAACCAUGAAGAGGAAGUAAACGGCCUACAAGCCCAGAUUGCCAGCUCUGGGUUGACCGUGGAGGUAGAUGCCCCCAAAUCUCAGGGCCUCGCCAAGAUCAUGGCAGAAAUCCGGGCUCAAUAUGACGAGCUGGCUCAGAAGAACCGAGAGGACCUGUACAAUUACUGGACUCAGCUGAUUGAGGAGAGCACCAUAGUGGUUACCACACAGUCCACUGAGGUUGAAGCUGCUGAGAUGACGCUCACAGAGCUAAGAUGUACAGUCCAGUCCUUGGAGAUCGACCUGGACUCCAUGAGAAAUAUGAAAAUCAGCUUGGAGAACAGCCUGAGGGAGAUGGAGGCCCGCUACGCCCUGCAUAUGGAGCAGCUCAACGAGACCCUUCUGCACCUGGAGUCAGAGCUGGCACAGACCCGGGCAGAGGGACAGCACCAGGACCAGGAGUAUGAGGCUCUGCUGAACAUCAAGGUCAAGCUGGAGGCUGAGAUGGCCACCUACCGCUGCCUGCUGGAAGAUGGCGAGGACUUCAGUCUUGGUGAUGCCCUGGACAGCACUAACUCCAUGCAAAUCAUCCAAAAGACCACCGCCCGCCGGAUAGUGGAUGGCAAAGUGGUGUCUGAGACCAAUGACACCAAAGUUCUGAGACAUUAGGCCAGCAGAAGCAGGGGACCCUUUGGGGAGCAGGAGGCCAAUAAAAAGCUCGGAGGUCAAAAAAAA